rnacentral:rRNA from 1 species
UAGGGAAUCUUCGGCAAUGGACGAAAGUCUGAACGAGCAACGCCGCGUGAGUGAAGAAGGUUUUCGGAUCGUAAAACUCUGUUGUUAGAGAAGAACAAGGACGUUAGUAACUGAACGUCCCCUGACGGUAUCUAACCAGAAAGCCACGGCUAACUACGUGCCAGCAGCCGCGGUAAUACGUAGGUGGCAAGCGUUGUCCGGAUUUAUUGGGCGUAAAGCGAGCGCAGGCGGUUUCUUAAGUCUGAUGUGAAAGCCCCCGGCUCAACCGGGGAGGGGCAUUGGAAACUGGGAGACUUGAGUGCAGAAGAGGAGAGUGGAAUUCCAUGUGUAGCGGUGAAAUGCGUAGAUAUAUGGAGGAACACCAGUGGCGAAGGCGGCUCUCUGGUCUGUAACUGACGCUGAGGCUCGAAAGCGUGGGGAGCAAACAGG